rnacentral:rRNA from 1 species
CAGUCGCCGCGGGAAUACGAAGGGGGCUAGCGUUGUUCGGAAUUACUGGGCGUAAAGCGCACGUAGGCGGAUCGAUCAGUCAGGGGUGAAAUCCCAGGGCUCAACCCUGGAACUGCCUUUGAUACUGUCGAUCUGGAGUAUGGAAGAGGUGAGUGGAAUUCCGAGUGUAGAGGUGAAAUUCGUAGAUAUUCGGAGGAACACCAGUGGCGAAGGCGGCUCACUGGUCCAUUACUGACGCUGAGGUGCGAAAGCGUGGGGAGCAAACAGGAUUAGAUACCCCUGUAGUCCCUGUCUCUUAUAA